AGGGAGAUGCUUUCUUCUUAAAGGCAUACAGCCUUUGGUGACAGAGCUAACAAGGAAUUGCAGAAGGGGAGAGCUGGAGGGGACCUUAAAAGGAUUUGAAUUUCGGCAGUUUCAACCCCUUCCCCUUCAAGCUGCUGUGGUUGAAGGUUGUCACCUGCUUCUGCUGCCCACCUCCAUGGAGGAUAGGGUGGUCACCCCCUUCCGCACACCUGGAUUUGCUGCGGAAGGGCUGGGGGACAAGGAUCGCUCGGUCUUCAGAGCUUGCUGAGCACACCUUUCCAGGUGGAUUUUGGAAGAAGACGGAGCGUGUCUGGAGGGGGGAAUAGAAGAGGCACAUCCCCAAGCCUGCGCGUGGCGGGAUGAAGAUGCGAGGGUUUGUGCGUGACUGGGUGCAUUAUAAAUGGAAACGUGUGGCUGUGUGGCCGGCGUGGGCGAGGGGCUGGGCAUGCGGGUGAGUGUGAGCCUGUGCCGAGGGGGACAGAUGUGUGUGGGAUGGCUCUGUGUGAAGCUAUAUUAAAAAUAUGAGCAA